rnacentral:rRNA from 1 species
GACGAACGCUGGCGGCGUGCUUAACACAUGCAAGUCGAACGGAAAGGCCCUGCUUUUGUGGGGUGCUCGAGUGGCGAACGGGUGAGUAACACGUGAGUAACCUGCCCUUGACUUUGGGAUAACUUCAGGAAACUGGGGCUAAUACCGGAUAGGAGCUCCUGCUGCAUGGUGGGGGUUGGAAAGUUUCGGCGGUUGGGGAUGGACUCGCGGCUUAUCAGCUUGUUGGUGGGGUAGUGGCUUACCAAGGCUUUGACGGGUAGCCGGCCUGAGAGGGUGACCGGCCACAUUGGGACUGAGAUACGGCCCAGACUCCUACGGGAGGCAGCAGUGGGGAAUAUUGCACAAUGGGCGGAAGCCUGAUGCAGCAACGCCGCGUGCGGGAUGACGGCCUUCGGGUUGUAAACCGCUUUCGCCUGUGACGAAGCGUGAGUGACGGUAAUGGGUAAAGAAGCACCGGCUAACUACGUGCCAGCAGCCGCGGUGAUACGUAGGGUGCGAGCGUUGUCCGGAUUUAUUGGGCGUAAAGGGCUCGUAGGUGGUUGAUCGCGUCGGAAGUGUAAUCUUGGGGCUUAACCCUGAGCGUGCUUUCGAUACGGGUUGACUUGAGGAAGGUAGGGGAGAAUGGAAUUCCUGGUGGAGCGGUGGAAUGCGCAGAUAUCAGGAGGAACACCAGUGGCGAAGGCGGUUCUCUGGGCCUUUCCUGACGCUGAGGAGCGAAAGCGUGGGGAGCGAACAGGCUUAGAUACCCUGGUAGUCCACGCUGUAAACGGUGGGUACUAGGUGUGGGGUCCAUUCCACGGGUUCCGUGCCGUAGCUAACGCUUUAAGUACCCCGCCUGGGGAGUACGGCCGCAAGGCUAAAACUCAAAGGAAUUGACGGGGCCCCGCACAAGCGGCGGAGCAUGCGGAUUAAUUCGAUGCAACGCGUAGAACCUGACCUGGGUUUGACAUGGAUCGGGAGUGCUCAGAGAUGGGUGUGCCUCUUUUGGGGUCGGUUCACAGGUGGUGCAUGGCUGUCGUCAGCUCGUGUCGUGAGAUGUUGGGUUAAGUCCCGCAACGAGCGCAACCCUUGUUCACUGUUGCCAGCACGUUAUGGUGGGGACUCAGUGGAGACCGCCGGGGUCAACUCGGAGGAAGGUGGGGAUGACGUCAAGUCAUCAUGCCCCUUAUGUCCAGGGCUUCACGCAUGCUACAAUGGCUGGUACAGAGAGUGGCGAGCCUGUGAGGGUGAGCGAAUCUCGGAAAGCCGGUCUCAGUUCGGAUUGGGGUCUGCAACUCGACCUCAUGAAGUCGGAGUCGCUAGUAAUCGCAGAUCAGCAACGCUGCGGUGAAUACGUUCCCGGGGCU